rnacentral:rRNA from 1 species
UGGGGAAUAUUGGACAAUGGGCGCAAGCCUGAUCCAGCCAUGCCGCGUGAGUGAUGAAGGCCUUAGGGUUGUAAAGCUCUUUUGUCCGGGACGAUAAUGACGGUACCGGAAGAAUAAGCCCCGGCUAACUUCGUGCCAGCAGCCGCGGUAAUACGAAGGGGGCUAGCGUUGCUCGGAAUCACUGGGCGUAAAGGGCGCGUAGGCGGCCAUUCAAGUCGGGGGUGAAAGCCUGUGGCUCAACCACAGAAUUGCCUUCGAUACUGUUUGGCUUGAGUUUGGUAGAGGUUGGUGGAACUGCGAGUGUAGAGGUGAAAUUCGUAGAUAUUCGCAAGAACACCAGUGGCGAAGGCGGCCAACUGGACCAACACUGACGCUGAGGCGCGAAAGCGUGGGGAGCAAACA